rnacentral:rRNA from 1 species
AGAGUUUGAUCUGGCUCAGGACGAACGCUGGCGGCGUGCUUAACACAUGCAAGUGGAGCGACGAACCAGGGCUUGCCCUGGGGCAANNCGCGAACGGGUGAGUAACACGUGGGUAACCUGCCCAGAUGACCGGGACAACCCGAGGAAACUCGGGCUAAUACCGGAUGUGUUCAUCUCGCAUCAGUGAGAUGAGGAAAGGAAGCUUCGGCCUCCGCAUCUGGAUGGGCCCGCGGCCCAUUAGCUUGUUGGUGGGGUAAUGGCCUACCAAGGCUGCGAUGGGUAGCUGUUCUGAGAGGAAGAUCAGCCACACUGGGACUGAGACACGGCCCAGACUCCUACGGGAGGCAGCAGUGGGGAAUCUUGCGCAAUGCGCGAAAGCGUGACGCAGCAACGCCGCGUGCGGGAAGACGGCCUUCGGGUUGUAAACCGCUUUCAGUUGGGACGAAGCUUCGCCGGUGAAUAGCCGGCCGGAGUGACGGUACCUUCAGAAGAAGCCCCGGCUAACUACGUGCCAGCAGCCGCGGUAAUACGUAGGGGGCAAGCGUUGUCCGGAAUCAUUGGGCGUAAAGCGCGUGUAGGCGGCUUGGUAAGUCUGCUCUGAAAGCCCGGGGCUCAACCCCGGGAGGCGGGUGGAUACUGUCAAGCUCGAGUCCGGAAGAGGAGUGUGGAAUUCCUGGUGUAGCGGUGAAAUGCGCAGAUAUCAGGAGGAACACCAAUGGCGAAGCAGCACUCUGGGACGUGACUGACGCUGAGACGCGAAAGCGUGGGGAGCAAACAGGAUUAGAUACCCUAGUAGUCC